UGGUAUGAUGACGGCUGACCAGGGCUCCCUGAUCUAUACAAGUCUCUGCUAUGAGGAAGAUGGCCAGUCCUGGUGUCUGAGUGAUU